rnacentral:misc_RNA from 1 species
UCUCCGUUGGUGAACCAGCGGAGGGAUCAUUACAGAGUUUUCACAACUCCCAACCCUUGCGAACCGUACCCAUUCUGUUCUCGUUGCUUCCGGCGGGCCCUACGAACCUUUAUAUCUCAACCACCAGAAACCGUCUGAGAAAACAAACAAAAUAAUCAAAACUUUCAACAACGGAUCUCUUGGCUCUGGCAUCGAUGAGAACGCAGC